GGAUCAAUUGAUUGGUCAUGCCAUUGGUAUGUACUGGUCAUAUUGGUUCUCACCUUCUAAGGAACCAUAAUGUCAUUAAUUUGAUGUUUUGGGGAAUUAGGACUGUUACCUUGAAAAAAUUAGAGUGUUUAAAGCAGGCUCACGCUUGAAUACAUUAGCAUGGAAUAACGAAAUAGGACGUUUGAUUCUAUUUUGUUGGUUUCUAGGAUCGACGUA
rnacentral:rRNA from 1 species